rnacentral:rRNA from 1 species
AAUCAUAAGAGRUCCAGCCUGCCCAGUGAAUUAAUUUUAACGGCCGCGGUAUCCUAACCGUGCGAAGGUAGCGUAAUCACUUGUUCUUUAAAUAAGGACUAGUAUGAAUGGCAUCACGAAGGUUAUACUGUCUCCCCUUUUUAAUCAGUGAAACUAAUCUCCCCGUGAAGAAGCGGGAAUAAAAUUAUAAGACGAGAAGACCCUAUGGAGCUUUAGACUAUACAACAAUUGUUAUUCACUUAUUACACCCUCUGGGUGCCCAACUAUAUUUCUUCAUUUUGAUUGUUAGUCUUAGGUUGGGGUGACCGCGGAGUAAAACAUAACCUCCACGAUGAAAGAAGCUUAAUUUCUUAACCUAGAGUUACAACUCUAAGCACCAAAAAUUUGACAUAAAUUGAUCCAAUCCAUUGAUCAACGAACCAAGUUACCCUAGGGAUAACAGCGCAAUCUACUUCAAGAGUCCUUAUCGACAAGUAGGUUUACGACCUCGAUGUUGGAUCAGGGUAUCCUAGUGGUGCAGCCGCUACUAAAGGUUCGUUUGUUCAACGAUUAA